rnacentral:rRNA from 1 species
CCCUACGGGGUGCACCAGGCCGCCCAGGAUCCGUUCCCCGAAAUAGCGGAUGGAAAAAGUGCCGAUCCCGCGCCCGGUCCCGGGUUUGGUGCUGAAAUUUCGCUGAAAAAUCCGUUCCCGGAUUCCCGGCGGAAUUUCGGCGGCGUUCCAGACGCAAAAAGCCACCCUCCCCUGCCCGGACUCACACCAUAUUCGGAUCUCCCCUCCUUCUUCCGUGGCUUCCAGUGCGUUGAUGGCCAUGUUGGUCAACACCCGUUCCAGCACAUGGACGUCCGUGGUGAUCAAACGCGGUGUCGCCGAUGGGGUGUGGUAGAUCCGCCGCCCCCGGGCCGCCGGAUGGGAGGAGACCACGAUGAUCAGGUUUUCCAUGAAUUGGCGGGAGGGC